CGGCUAGGGAAAAAGCCGCCGGCAAAGGUUGGGGGCCUUUGCCGGCGGCCAGUGAAAAUGGCCGCCGGCAAAGGGCGGGCACGUGGCACGAUUUGGUGCGUGCCCGCGCUCAGCCUUUGGCCGCCGGCAAAGUGUAUUUUUUUUGUUUUUUUUUAUCGCGGCAAUUUGAAAUAUUUUCACAGCACAUAUAUACAAAUAUAUAUUCAUCCACAUCACAGCAAUACAUCCACACAAAAUCAUCGACGCAUCCACAUAACGCAUUCACGUCACAAGUAUAUAAACAUCUCAUGAAAUUCCGAAAACAUCACAUAUCUCACAAUAAAAGUAUUACAAGUGUUCAUCACAUGGUAGCAACAUAUUACAAGCUAGUGUUCAUACACGACAAGAUGGUGACUCGGACACCUUCAACAUCCACUACCCAUUGCACCAGUAGAAAUCUAUGAAAUGGAGUUGGAAUAGCAUAAUUAGAUAUAAAGAAAGGAAUUGAAGUGACAAUUGCAGUAUUUGAAGCGGAACUUAGCCAUUUGGCUCAAAAAUGGUGCAAUGGAAUCAUUUUUGAGCAAAUAUGGCCCAUUUGGUUCCAAAAAUGCUACCAAGGCACAAUUUUGGAGCCAAAUGACCCCUAAAUGCUCUAAAAUGGCACGAUGGCACCAUUUUGGAGCGAAUAUGGCUUAUUUGGCUCCAAGAUGGUGCCUUGGUCGCAUAAAUGUGCCAAAUGGCAUAAAAAAUGCCA
rnacentral:lncRNA from 1 species